rnacentral:misc_RNA from 1 species
GAUGAAGAACGUAGCGAAAUGCGAUAAGUAAUGUGAAUUGCAGAAUUCAGUGAAUCAUCGAAUAUUUGAACGCACAUUGCGCCCGCCAGUAUUCUGGCGGGCAUGCCUGUCUGAGCGUCAUUUCAACCCUCAAGCAACUUCUGCUUGGUGUUGGGGAUCGGCCGUUAAACGCCGCCCCCGAAAUCUAUUGGCGAUCUCGCUGUAGCUUCCUAUGCGUAGUAGUAACAUCUCGCAUCUGGAGAGCGGCGCGGUCAUGCCGUAAAACACCCAACUUCUCAGGUUGACCUCAGAUCAGGUAGGAAUACCCGCUGAACUUAAGCAUAUCAAUAAGCGGAGGA